rnacentral:rRNA from 1 species
AACGAACGCUGGCGGCAUGCCUAACACAUGCAAGUCGAACGAGACCUUCGGGUCUAGUGGCCCACGGGUGCGUAACGCGUGGGAACCUGCCUUUAGGUUCGGAAUAACUCAGAGAAAUUUGAGCUAAUACCGGAUGAUGUCUUCGGACCAAAGAUUUAUCGCCUUUAGAUGGGCCCGCGUUGGAUUAGCUAGUUGGUGGGGUAAAGGCCUACCAAGGCGACGAUCCAUAGCUGGUCUGAGAGGAUGAUCAGCCACACUGGGACUGAGACACGGCCCAGACUCCUACGGGAGGCAGCAGUGGGGAAUAUUGGACAAUGGGCGAAAGCCUGAUCCAGCAAUGCCGCGUGAGUGAUGAAGGCCUUAGGGUUGUAAAGCUCUUUUACCCGAGAUGAUAAUGACAGUAUCGGGAGAAUAAGCUCCGGCUAACUCCGUG